UCAGCCUACGGGAGGCAGCAGUGGGGGGGAAUAUUGCACAAUGGGCGCAAGCCUGAUGCAGCCAUGCCGCGUGUAUGAAGAAGGCCUCGGGUUGUAAAGUACUUUCAGCGGGGGGGAGGAAGGGAGUAAAGUUAAUACCUUUGCUCAUUGACGUUACCCGCAGAAGAAGCACCGGCUAACUCCGUGCCAGCAGCCGCGGUAAUMUGA
rnacentral:ncRNA from 1 species